rnacentral:rRNA from 1 species
GGGAGGCAGCAGUGGGGAAUAUUGCACAAUGGGCGAAAGCCUGAUGCAGCCAUGCCGCGUGUAUGAAGAAGGCCUUCGGGUUGUAAAGUACUUUCAGUUGUGAGGAAGGGUGUGUAGUUAAUAGCUGCGCAUCUUGACGUUAGCAACAGAAGAAGCACCGGCUAACUCCGUGCCAGCAGCCGCGGUAAUACGGAGGGUGCGAGCGUUAAUCGGAAUUACUGGGCGUAAAGCGCAUGCAGGUGGUUCAUUAAGUCAGAUGUGAAAGCCCGGGGCUCAACCUCGGAACUGCAUUUGAAACUGGUGAACUAGAGUGCUGUAGAGGGGGGUAGAAUUUCAGGUGUAGCGGUGAAAUGCGUAGGGAUCUGAAGGAGUACCAGUGGCGAAGGCGGCCCCCUGGACAGACACUGACACUCAGAUGCGAAAGCGUGGGUAGCAAACAGGAUUA